ensembl:lncRNA
AGAAGACACAACAUGAUGUUGUUGUAGCCGUACUGACUGAACCUGAUGAGUCUUCACCUCUGUGUCCUCUCACAGAGAGAAGAUGAUCCUGCUGCUCCUCAUCCUCACCUCCUCAGCAGCAGCACUUGAAGUGAAGGAGACACAGAGCUCCUAUCAGGCAGAGGAGAACCACAACAUCACACUGGAGUGGACGUUCCCCACACACACUAAGACUAAGACUGAGGACAUUUAUGUCUACUGUUCUCAUUUUACCGAACAGAAAGGAUCAGUCCUGUAUCAGGUCGAUGCUGGUGUUGAGCUCUCAGAGUCUGUGGAUGAAGGUUUUUCAGGAAGAGUCCAGAGUGACACAGACGCCCUCAGAGAAGGACGAAUCAGACUUCAUCUGUCCAGACUCAGGACUGAAGACUCUGGUCUGUAUGUGUGUUCAGUGAGUACAGCUUCUGGUUUUGGUUCUUCCAGCUGUGAGCUCACAGUCUCUGCAGCUGCUGCUCAGACACACCCUGACAGACCAGCUCUGAGUCCAGCUCUGAGUCCAACUCUGAGUCCUCCAGCAGACACAGGAGGACGGACAGUCCUCAUCAUUGGACUGAUACUAGGAGGAGUUCUCCUGAUCAUCAUUGUAGUUUUAUUUUUUGUUUGCAGGAAGAAAGAACAAUAUGGUGUCUCAGAACAACAAGCCACCAAACACAAUGUUGUUCUUGGUGAAAUUCAGACAGUAAAUCAGUAAUUCAGAUUUUGUCCUUUACAGCAAGUAGAGGAGGACAGACAGGACUCAACACUGCACUGAUAGCAGCAGGAGGAGCAGCUGUCCUGAUUGGCUGAGUUGUUGCUUAAUUGUUUGUACAAUGAUGAAUAAAAACACAAUAUUGUUAUUCAUAUAGACUCAUUCAGUGUUCAGACUGCUGCAUCA